rnacentral:rRNA from 1 species
UACACUCCUGCGGGAGGCAGCAGUGGGGAAUUUUGGACAAUGGGCGAAAGCCUGAUCCAGCCAUGCCGCGUGCAGGAUGAAGGCCUUCGGGUUGUAAACUGCUUUUGUACGGAACGAAACGGCCUUUUCUAAUAAAGAGGGCUAAUGACGGUACCGUAAGAAUAAGCACCGGCUAACUACGUGCCAGCAGCCGCGGUAAUACGUAGGGUGCAAGCGUUAAUCGGAAUUACUGGGCGUAAAGCGUGCGCAGGCGGUUAUGUAAGACAGUUGUGAAAUCCCCGGGCUCAACCUGGGAACUGCAUCUGUGACUGCAUAGCUAGAGUACGGUAGAGGGGGAUGGAAUUCCGCGUGUAGCAGUGAAAUGCGUAGAUAUGCGGAGGAACACCGAUGGCGAAGGCAAUCCCCUGGACCUGUACUGACGCUCAUGCACGAAAGCGUGGGGAGCAAACAGGAUUAGAUACCCGUGUAGUCCCAU